rnacentral:lncRNA from 1 species
UCAAAGUGCUCUGUCAUACCCUUUUCUGUCUCAGUAUCUCCCUGUACAGAGGAAAUGAAACUAUAAGCUCUUUCUCAAGAAAUUACUUGAAACAAGGAGCCUACCCUUUAAGUUGUCGGGGUCUGAAGUCACCUGCAUUCCAGAUGUCUGGAGAAUGUGACUUUUCUGGCAUCUGAUAGACAACUUUGACACCUGAUCUCUGGGGGCCUUCUGGAGUCACUCAGGGUUCUUAAGAGACUUCCCUUACUUUAUCAUUCCAGAAAGAAUUGUCACAGGUGAAUGUAUCGCACUUUCUCAGGAGCUGAACCUGACCCUUGAAUCCAUUUCAUUUGCACCAAAGGUUUCUCCCUGAAUUAAAAUGGAUUAAGUUGGCUUAAUGCUGUUUUACAAGCAAGCCGCUGGCACUGCACCAUUCAUUUUAAAUUUUAAUCCUUUGUCUUAGCCUGUUAAUUACUAUUGUUUUAAGUCCAUUAUCCUGGUGUGCAC